ACAAAAUCCCUGAAAAUUUCAGUGAUAAUAUAUAAUCCCUAAACUGGCCAGUGAUUCUACAUAAUCCCUGAAAUUUUCAGGGAUUCUACAUAAUCACUGAUUAUACAAAUUCACUGUAACAUAUACAUCCGUUACAUGUACAAUGCAAAUUAAAGUGCAUGUAAAUGUAUUGUAGGGGUAAUUAUCAUCUGAUUUUGAUUUUUUUUCUAUUUUUAACAUUUCCUGAAUAACAUUUUAUGUUAAAUACAAAUGUACAUGUCAUUAAAAAAAUAGGAAUGAUUUCGAUCAGACAGACAAAUUCAUGUUCACAAUUUUUUUUUUUAAACUUUUGUCCAGAAAUAUUAAUAGAAACGUAUUGAACCAAUAAUUAUAGUCGAUUUUCAAGUUUCUGUAUCUGUUUUCUUAGAAUUGUAUACCAGUACAUCCAUGAUUGAGUGUACAUGUAUAUGUACAUUGUCUUUUCAGUAGAAAACAUUUUCUAAUUCAUUAAACCAAAUUUACUGUACAUACAUGUAACCUCAAAUGUCCAUUUCAAAACUAUUUUGUUUUAUCAGUUUAAUCAUGUUUAUGAUGUAGUUGGUUAAGGACAUUACUGUAAGAACAAUAGUUUUUGAACAUUUGGAAUUGUGAACUACAUGCACAUUUCAUGUAGCUUGCUAGCCAGCUAUAGCAGUUUAUAUUAAUCUUAAAUGAAAUAAUCCCUACAUUUAAAAUUUACACUUUCAUUUUGAUAGUCAAAUGGGAAUUUCAAGCACCUUAUAUUAGCUUUGAUUCUAAAAUAAUAGUUUUAUAUAUUACUACAAUGUACCGUACUAGGAAUUUUAAAAUUUACUAUAAAUUUUUUUCAAAAAAAAAAAAAAUUCUGUCGAACAAGGUUAACAUUCUAGAUCUAUAACCAGUGGUUGGUUAUGAACAUGAUGUACAUGCCGUUUGUUUUUGUAAAGAAAUCUUGAGACUGUUGAAUUUGGAAAUGCAUUUAUUUAUGAUCAAAAUGUUUAUUGUUUUUAAAAUGAACAACCACAUUUUAGUGGGAAAUAUUAUGUUUUAUGCUUAAGUUUGACAUAUUGGAACAAUAUUGUCAUAUGUGUACGUCAUCCAUCUUACAUUGUAAUUUCCUGGAGAGUGUAAUUCAAAUGGAUUCGCAACAUUUGGUUCUGGACUUAAUACAAAAUUUACAUUGUAGUCUGGUAUAAUUUUAAGCUGAAAUAGAGAUAAACAAUAUGUAACACACUUCUACAAUAUAUGAAUUUCAUACAUGAUUUGGAACCUAUAUGUACAUGUAUAAAUGUGAAAUGGACUAACAGUACAUUUAAGUCAUGCACAUGUUCGUUAAAAACUUUAGGAAAAACUGUAUUUUCUUUUAUAACACGCUUGAUUGAUUUUCUUGGCAAUGCUUUUCAAGGUGAAAGAUUGUUUUCAAUUGUAGCAUACUUGCCUGUUUGUAAACUUUUUAAUUUGGAACCAUCAAUUUAUGAUUGAUGUUAGUAAUUUUGAAUAUAAUGUUUAUUCAUGCACGAUUUUUUUUCAUACAUGUAAAUCAUCUAUAAACAUGAUAAACAUGUCUACAUAUUUUUUUUGGUUUAAUUAUUCUUAGAAUGAUGGAUCUUUGAAAUAUGUACAUGUAGGAUGUUGUUAAAAUAGAUUUAAACUUUUAAGAGAGGAGAAUAUAUAUCUGUAGGUAAAUUAAUACAGAUAACAUGAGUAACUACUUACAUAAGUGUUAGAAAUUUACUUUUGUUUCAAGUCAAUUUUGAAAGUUAGUGCUAUCUUUAUAUGUUAAACCCAUUGAAUGUUGAUUUUUUUAAAGUGAUCUUGAAUGAAAUAUAUAUAUAUCUACAUGUAUAAAUAUUCACAUAAGUGCUGCUGUUUUUGUACGGAAUUUGUAAAUGCUAGUAAUAUUUUGUCUCGCUCUCUAGACAUGCUAGCGGAAGUGUAUUAUCACCAUACCUGUAAUAACUAUCCUGAAAUGUUAAACAUUCCUACUAUUGGGUUUGGAGGUUUUAUCUGAAAAUCUCAUUUUUGGUCAAAUAUAUUUAUUAACAACAUAAAACAGAAUUAUUAUGAUUUAAGGAGAAUACAUUUGAUGCAAUAAAAAAAUAAAUUGAACAAGAUAUCAAUUAAAAUUUAAUCAUUUAAUCCUAAGUUUAAUUGUAUGGAAAUAAUAAUCUGUCAUUGUCUGUAGUUAAAGCAAUUUUUUUACUAGAUUCAAAACAUUUUACUUGUAAACAUGUCUGAGGUAGGAUUUGAAAUUAGACUACUUUAAAUGGAGCCUCCCCUUUCAUUUGGGUUUCAACAGGUAUGGUAAUAAAGCCGUUCUUAUUUAAGUUUCCUUUCUCAGGAACAUUUGUCUGCUCAAAUAUGACCAAAUGGUUAGAGAGGUACGUUUCAAGUUAAGGAUGUGAUUUUUAUGCCCCACCUACGAUAGUAGAGGGGCAUUAUGUUUUCUGGUCUGUGCGUCCGUUCGUCCGUCCGUCUGUUCGUUCGUUCGUUCGUUCGUUCUUCUUUCGUCGUCUGUCCCGCUUCAGGUUAAAGUUUUUGGUCAAGGUAGUUUUUGAUGAAGUUGAAGUCCAAUCAACUUGAAACUUAGUAUACAUGUGCCCUAUGAUAUGAUCUUUCUAAUUUAAAUGCCAAAUUAUAGUUUUGACCCCAAUUUUACGGUUCACUGAAUAUAGAAAAUGAUAGUGCAAAUUUCAGGUUAAAGUUUUUGGUCAAGGUAGUUUUUGAUGAAGUUGAAGUCCAAUCAACUUGAAACUUAGUAUACAUGUGCCCUAUGAUAUGA
rnacentral:lncRNA from 1 species